ACCCUCAUCUCCAUGCCCCUGGCAGAUCCUGUGUUUUGCCCGUCGUCAUCAGUGUGCUACAUCAGUGUCGUGUUUGGUGCUGUUCUCCUGUGCGUCGCGAGCUGUGAUUUUAAUUGUGUGCUGGACUUGAGCAUAGUGUUACUGUCGGUGAUCAUUAUGUGCUACGCCGUCCAUCGACACUUUUAUGCUGCAGCCAUACUUCGCAUUGUGUUCUUUUAACUGUCACAGUAUGUGGUUUUUUGUGCUCAAUACUUUUUAAGGUUUUUGUCUUCAUUUUACAGUCGCCCCCUUUUUGUCUGUUUUCGUCCAUUGUGUUCCCCAUUUUUUUUAUAUAUUUUUGUCCGCUGUAUUUUCUCCUUUGUAAUUUUAAAUGUCUUUCCCGUUGUAUCAUUAUUGUCUUUUGGCUGAAGAGCAUCGCAUAUGCUGCUGCCAGCUCGCCCCAGAUGGGGAAUUGAAAUUCAAUAAAGAAAAAAAAAAAUCAGAAGGAUGUACAUUUUGUUAACAAUGGAGGGAUCCAUGGGCAAGCUAUAAGAGUCCAGGGCUGUGCUCUCUUGGUGAGAAGAAGUGUGCCUCUUACUGCCAGCCACCUAAAGAUUUUACGAAAUGUAGCUUGAAUUGGUGCCCAAUUUUUUUAUGCUAGAGAUUUAACAUGUACCGGUCGUUGUUAUCCUCUUUGGCUGCAUUACAAAUUAAUGUAAAUAAAUACAUGGUUAUUACAAAUGAUUGAAGCGAUUUCACAGCUCUACUAUAACUUUAUUAUUUGAGAUAUUUUCACAAUGCUUUGCACACACAUACAAAAACUCAAAAAGUGUUUUUAGGCAUUCACAAAUGUUCGAUAUGUGCCCCUUUAGUGAUUCAGCAGACAUCAAGCCAAUAAUCAAGUUCCUCCCACACUCGGCGCAGCAUGUCCCCAUCAAUGAGUUCGAAACGGUAAGGCUUCUGCUUUAGCCUUUUCCGUAAGAUUUUCCAAACUGUUGGCUGUGGUACAUUUAGCUCCCUGCUUGCUUUAUUCGUCGACUUCCGCGGGCUACGCGUGAAACUUGCCCGCACGCGUUCAACUGUUUCUUCGCUCACUGCAAGCCGACCCGUUGAUUUCCCCUUACAGAGGCAUCCAGAAGUUUUAAACUGCGCAUACCAUCGCCGAAUGGAGUAGCAGUUGGUGGAUCUUUGUUGAACUUCGUCCUGAAGUGUCGUUGCACUGUUAUGACCGACUGAUGUGAGUGCAUUUCAAGCACGACAUACGCUUUCUCGUCUCCUGUCUCCAUUUUGUCUCACUGCGCUCUUGAGCGCUCUGGCGGCAGAAACCUGAAGUGCGGCUUCAGCCGAACAAAACUUUAUGAGUUUUUCUACGUAUCUGUUGUGUGUCGUGACCAUAUGUCAAUGAAUGGAGCUACAGUGAAUUUAUGAAAUCGCUUCAAUCAUUUGUAAUAGCCCUGUAGCUACUGUAUUUGUAGUAAAUAAUGUUGUUUGUAAAGCACAUUUUUACCUUUUCUGGAGCUACACAUUUCUUGUAUCUUUUAAUCCUACGCAGGGGGGGGGGGGGGCUGGCAGCAGCAGCAGCAGCAGCUUAAUAAGCCGUUCUGCAGCCUACAGAAGAGUUCAAACAUAAUGAGAAGAUAACAAACAAUAAAAAAACCAGGUGAUAAACCAGUACUUUCUUAAAAAUUGUGAAAUGGUGGAAAGUUGUAGAAGUUAAAAUAGAAAAACAUGGGGUUGGUGAUGCUAAUUAAGACACACACUAAGUAGACAGGCACAAUUUAAAAAAAAAAAAAAAAAAAAAAAAAACAUUGUAACAGUCUGGUUUUCGUUCACAAGAAAUAAGACACACACCUACUGACAGUAUGGUUUCUGUUCACAACAUGUACAAAAGGGGAUGCACAACACUGAAAUUCACUUAAACACUGCACUAUAGAGUAGACAUCGACAGCAGACCAACACCAACAACGAUAGUUCAGGUAUACAUGCCGACGUCGCAAGCUGAAGAUGAACAGAUAGAGAAAGUGUAUGAGGAUAUUGAAAGGGUAAUGCAGUAUGUAAAGGGGGACGAAAAUCUAAAGCUGGUAUUACACGUCGGUCCGCCGCGAACGGUACUGGUCUGUCGCGACAGCCAUCUAGUGGUAGAACAGGUGAAACUACGAAAAUUAGCAGACACAUUAUCCGCGCACCGGAAUAGAGAGCAAUUCCCGUCAACUCGCGCAUGCGCACUAGGCUGCGAAACUUGCGCAUGCGCAGAAGUGGGUACCGCAGUCGCAGUGCUUUCUGCUUGUUGUUUGUUUAUGGUUGGGUGUGUAGAGACAAAUUACAGUUUUUCGUGUCGGAGAUUUUCCGCAUUUUUUUCAGUUAGUAGGUUUUCAUAAAUGCAGUAAAAAAUAGUACUUUUUUUUUUGCCAGUUGACUUUCUUUUAUACUAGCUGUUUGUGAACACUUAUUGUUCUGUUUAUUGCUUCAUAUUCUAGAAAUGGAAUGAACAAACAGCCUUUAAGCAUCCUCAUUCAGGUGUACAGCAAAGAAAACUGUAUGUACAACCCGCAGGACCCGCUAUAUCAUAAUAAGAAUGCCAGGAAAGAGAAACUGGCAGUGAUAGGCAGUAAAGUUCACGCAGUUUUGCCCAACGCAACAGAUGAGGACUGCAAAACUCUAUUCAUGUCACUGCGGUCGCACUUUUGUGGAGAGCUAAAAAAAAUUAGAGCCAGUGAGGAUAGUGGUGCAGGGGCAAGCGAAAUUUACGAGCCUGCUGUGUGGUGGUUCAAUGCUUUGAAGUUUUUGAAGGACUACGUGACACCGAGGAAAACAGUGACAAAUAUCCCAAGCCGUAUGAUACCACAGUCACUCUCAUCAAAUCCAUGUAGCACAACCACUAUCAAUUACUCUUAUGUAAAUAUUUACCUACAUUUAAAUAAAAGUUGUACAUAGUAAUUGCAACAAGUGAAUAACACAUCAACUAUUCAGAAUACUGAGGUGACCACAAUUACUGAAGAGACCAUAGUAAAUGAGGGAUAUAUUGAAGAUGACAACAGCAAUUACUCCCAAGACAUAUUUACUGUGGAAUUGUCAGAGGGAAGUACACCUGUGUCAACACCAUCACCUCGAAGUGAGCAGCCUUAUGCUUCAGCCAGAAAGAGGCGUAGGAAGGACACUGAGGAUGAAUUAGCCACCUCAACAUUGUCAGUCUUAAGAGACAUUAGAGUUUCAAUUAGUGGCAGUAAUGAAGAUGACAAGUUUGGGCAGUAUGUUGCUGCUGAAUUGAAGAAAUUGAAAAAUCCAGCAAUUAAGGCUGACGUGAAAUUGAAUGUCAUGAAAUGUAUCAUGGAUGGUAUACGUAAAGAAAUCUGUAACUGAUUUUAAAGUUAAGGCAUUGCAUUUCAUUGAUAGUUAUUUUUAAAAAAACGAUUGCCUUUUGUACAUUAUUACUGUUAAAAGUUGUACUUCUUAACGGCUUCCCACUGCCAUGAAACAUAACCUGUUGUACUAAAGAAUUCACAAAAUUUUUCGCGCACUUCCCUGGCACACAGUGAUGUGCGAUUUCCACUCUGCUGGGGUAUGCUAGAGAGAGAUUUCUCUCCUCGCCAGGAACCAUUGUUUAUGGUGCACAAGUCUGUGUUUUCUGUAUCAGCAGCUGUCAGAUAUGUGGUGUCUGCCUCUUCAAUCAAGUAGUUGUGCAGUAUGCAUAAAGUCUGAACAAUUAAUUCCACUUUCUCAACAGGUAGUCGAAUUGUACUGAGAAGAACUCUGAAGCGAUUGGCCAGAAUUCCGAAAGUGUUUUCCACUACUCGCCUUCCUCUUGACAAUCUGUAGUUAAAAAUCUGUUUGGACUUCUGGUUCUGGCAGUCUCUGUAGGGUUUCAUGAUAUAUGGCUCCAGAUGAAAGGCAUCAUCAGCAAGAACAGUUUUCCCGAAGUGCACUGCUGAUCAGGCUGUUUGCAUACACCCCACCAUCACUCGCUCUUCCAUUGCACCCAAUGUCAAUCAAAGAGAAUCGGUACCUAGCGUCCACAAUAGCUAGUAAAACAACACUGUGGAAUUUUUUAUAAUUGAAGUAUGUUGAGCCAGCAGUUCGUGGUGGGGCAAAUGCUAUGUGUUU